rnacentral:lncRNA from 1 species
AAUCAAUCUGCAUUACGUCACCAGCCUGCCUCCCAGUCUUGCCCUUAGUUUCUUCAUUGGAGGAAACUUAAAAAAAAAAAAAAAAGAAGAAGAAGAAGAGGAAGGCGAAAGAAAGAAAGAAACCGAGGCCAGGGUUUCUAGACAGUGUCUUAGAGACCAGAAGCUAACUAAAAAAAAAAAAAAAAAAUCUUGGAUUCCUGAGUACGGAAUUUCGAGACUAGGAACCCGAGGAGAUACUCAGGAGACUCAGGUGAACAGAAAAAAGGGGUUUCGUAGAGGUGAGAGGAAGGGGCUCUGCACCUCUAAAGGUAACCCUUUUCCGCCGAUUUCCCGUGUUUCCCGAUGAUCUCACGUUGGUGCCAUCGUUUCACUGUUAUACUCUGGAACAGUCAUACUCUGGAACAGCACGAGGAGCCAAAUGCACUAUGAAGCCCAGCUAGAGAGGAUCCAAGUCGGGCGUAGCAUUAGCGGGCAAAUCCUCACGCAUUUGUUAACUGUGUUUGCUAGUACUCACGUUCCGUUCUGCAUCCCUUUCCCUGCAGUGUGGACACGCCAGAAAUUCAGGUGGAAACAGUGACUUGAGGCCGGCGCAUUCCUGUUCGUGACAAAACCACAGGCACAGACGCUGGUGUGCUCUACAUCUUUAGAACACAAACGUGCUGGAUCAGGCUUGGCACAUGACGCAAAGUGGGGGCGAGUCUGGAAUAUGAAUAAAUAAGAGCCUCCAUACUGUCUCUUUUUAAAUUUUUAUUUUUAUUUUAUGUGCAUUGGCGGGUUUGCCUGCAUGUAUGUCUGUGUGAGGAUGUCGUAUCCCAGGAAAUGUAGUGUACCCCAGGAAAUGUAGUUGCAAACAGUUGUAAGCUGCCAUGUGGUUGCUGGGAAUUGAACCCAGGUCCUCUGGAAGAACAGCCAGUGCUCCUAAUCACUGAGCCAUCAUCUCUCCAGCCCGGAGGCUCAAUACUUUCACUCCAGUGGGUGGCUGGUCGAUAACGUUAUUGCAUAAGCGUUUGGAUACAGUGCCCUUUUAGUGGAGUGACAAACGACACUACCUUUCUCUUCCUCCUGGGCAAAGAAGCAGCUGUGGUAGGAAUGAAGCCAGAGAAUGCUCCCAUCAGCUCCACACAGUGAUUCGAGCCCACGUGUGCUCACACCCUGUGACUGCCAACAGUCUAUCCGUGCUGCAGUCAAACUGCAUGGGUUUGAACUUUCUGGCUCACCAUCUGCACCGGCCAGGUCACAAAUGGAGGGCAGAGCAAUGGUACUGAGUUAUGAGUUGGCAAGUACCUCACUAUGUGUGUCUCAAAUUACAAGUAUAAUUAGAUUUUUGUUCACCUUUGACUGGCCUUUCUGAACAAUAAUUUCCACUUCUUCAUAUUAGUGAUAAAUGAUCCCACCCUUUGGGCUUGUUGUGAAUAUAUAUGAAAGUAUGCUGUAAAUGAUUACAUGUUAUACGUGCUAAUUACUGUGCUAGAAACUGAACUUGGAGCAUAGAGUUUUGUCAGGUUAUAGGUUUUUUUCUCCCCUAUAACCCACUCACCCCAUAACUACUUGGAUCUUUUAUGGUUAUAGUGAGUAGCUGACUAAGGGAAGCCUUUAGAAAUGUGUAGAGAGACAGGUAACUCAGCCUUAUCUUUAAUGGCUGAGAUAUUUCUCCAGCACAUGUAGGCCUCUGUGGUGACAGACCAAGUAAUUGUAUAUGGAUUUCUGUGGUUUUCUUUUUAAAAGAUUUAUUUAUUUAUUUAUUUAUUUAUUUAUUAUAUGUAAGUAUAC